AGAGUUUGAUCCUGGCUCAGAUUGAACGCUGGCGGCAUGCCUUACACAUGCAAGUCGAACGGCAGCACGGGUGCUUGCACCUGGUGGCGAGUGGCGAACGGGUGAGUAAUAUAUCGGAACGUACCCUAGAGUGGGGGAUAACGUAGCGAAAGUUACGCUAAUACCGCAUACGAUCUACGGAUGAAAGUGGGGGAUCGCAAGACCUCAUGCUCAUGGAGCGGCCGAUAUCUGAUUAGCUAGUUGGUGGGGUAAAAGCCUACCAAGGCGACGAUCAGUAGCUGGUCUGAGAGGACGACCAGCCACACUGGAACUGAGACACGGUCCAGACUCCUACGGGAGGCAGCAGUGGGGAAUUUUGGACAAUGGGGGCAACCCUGAUCCAGCAAUGCCGCGUGAGUGAAGAAGGCCUUCGGGUUGUAAAGCUCUUUUGUCAGGGAAGAAACGGGAUUUUCUAAUACAAAGUCCUAAUGACGGUACUUGAAGAAUAAGCACCGGCUAACUACGUGCCAGCAGCCGCGGUAAUACGUAGGGUGCAAGCGUUAAUCGGAAUUACUGGGCGUAAAGCGUGCGCAGGCGGUUGUGCAAGACAGAUGUGAAAUCCCCGGGCUCAACCUGGGAAUUGCAUUUGUGACUGCACGGCUAGAGUGUGUCAGAGGGGGGUAGAAUUCCACGUGUAGCAGCGAAAUGCGUAGAGAUGUGGAGGAAUACCGAUGGCGAAGGCAGCCCCCUGGGAUAACACUGACGCUCAUGCACGAAAGCGUGGGGAGCAAACAGGAUUAGAUACCCUGGUAGUCCACGCCCUAAACGAUGUCUACUAGUUGUCGGGUCUUAAUUGACUUGGUAACGCAGCUAACGCGUGAAGUAGACCGCCUGGGGAGUACGGUCGCAAGAUUAAAACUCAAAGGAAUUGACGGGGACCCGCACAAGCGGUGGAUGAUGUGGAUUAAUUCGAUGCAACGCGAAAAACCUUACCUACCCUUGACAUGUACGGAACUUACCAGAGAUGGUUUGGUGCUCGAAAGAGAACCGUAACACAGGUGCUGCAUGGCUGUCGUCAGCUCGUGUCGUGAGAUGUUGGGUUAAGUCCCGCAACGAGCGCAACCCUUGUCAUUAGUUGCUACGAAAGGGCACUCUAAUGAGACUGCCGGUGACAAACCGGAGGAAGGUGGGGAUGACGUCAAGUCCUCAUGGCCCUUAUGGGUAGGGCUUCACACGUCAUACAAUGGUACAUACAGAGGGCCGCCAACCCGCGAGGGGGAGCUAAUCCCAGAAAGUGUAUCGUAGUCCGGAUUGUAGUCUGCAACUCGACUACAUGAAGUUGGAAUCGCUAGUAAUCGCGGAUCAGCAUGUCGCGGUGAAUACGUUCCCGGGUCUUGUACACACCGCCCGUCACACCAUGGGAGCGGGUUUCACCAGAAGUAGGUAGCCUAACCGCAAGGAGGGCGCUUACCACGGUGGGAUUCGUGACUGGGGUGAAGUCGUAACAAGGUA
rnacentral:rRNA from 1 species